rnacentral:rRNA from 1 species
GAUCAUGGCUCAGGAUGAACGCUAGCGGCAGGCUUAACACAUGCAAGUCGAGGGGCAGCAUUAGGGUAGCAAUACCUGAGAUGGCGACCGGCGCACGGGUGCGUAACGCGUAUGCAACCUACCCAUAACAGGGGCAUAACACUGAGAAACCGGUACUAAUUCCCCAUAACAUUCGAAGAGGCAUCUUUUCGGGUUGAAAACUCCGGUGGUUAUGGAUGGGCAUGCGUUGUAUUAGCUGGUUGG